rnacentral:rRNA from 1 species
UACAGAGGGUGCAAGCGUUAAUCGGAAUUACUGGGCGUAAAGCGUGCGUAGACGGUUAUGUAAGUCGGGUGUGAAAGCCCCGGGCUCAACCUGGGAAUUGCAUUCGAGACUGUGUAGCUAGGGUACGGAAGAGGGAAGCGGAAUUUCAGGUGUAGCGGUGAAAUGCGUAGAUAUCUGGAGGAACACCGGUGGCGAAGGCGGCAUCCUGGACCAACACUGACACUGAGGAGCGAAAGCCAGGGGAGCAAACGGG